rnacentral:tRNA from 1 species
UCCCCGGUGGUCCAAUGGUUAAGACUCUGCACUCCCAGUUUAGGGGGCCUGGGUUCGAUCCCUGGCUAGGGAA